UACGAAGGGGGCGAGCGUUGUUCGGAAUUACGUGGGCGUAAAGGGCGCGCAGGCGGCCCUUGAAGUCAGGCGUGAAAGCCCCGGGCUCAACCUGGGAGGUGCGCUUGAUACUCGAGGGCUUGAGUGCGGGAGAGGAGAGUGGAAUUCCCAGUGUAGAGGUGAAAUUCGUAGAUAUUGGGAAGAACACCGAUGGCGAAAGGCAGCCAUCUGGACCGACACUGACGCUGAGGCGCGAAAGCGUGGGGAGCAACAGG
rnacentral:rRNA from 1 species